AAAUUUGAAAUCUGGCCUUCGGGUCCGAGUUGUAAUUUGUAGAGGAUGCUUUUGGUGCGGUGCCUUCCGAGUUCCUUGGAACAGGACGCCUUAGAGGGUGAGAGCCCCGUACGGUUGGACACCAAGCCUUUGUAAAGCUCCUUCGACGAGUCGAGUAGUUUGGGAAUGCUGCUCUAAAUGGGAGGUAAAUUUCUUCUAAAGCUAAAUACCGGCCAGAGACCGAUAGCGCACAAGUAGAGUGAUCGAAAGAUGAAAAGUACUUUGAAAAGAGGGUUAAAUAGCACGUGAAAUUGUUGAAAGGGAAGCGUUUAUGACCAGACCUUUGUCAGGCGGAUCAUCCGGUGUUCUUCACCGGUGCACUUCGCCUGGCUCAGGCCAGCAUCGAUUUCUGUAGGGGGACAAAGACCAUGGGAACGUAGCUCUCUUCGGGGAGUGUUAUAGCCCUAGGUGUAAUACCUUUACGGGGAUCGAGGUUCGCGCUUCUGCAAGGAUGCUGGCGUAAUGGUCAUCAAUGACCCGUCUUGAAACACGGACCAAGGAGUCGAACAUUUAUGCGAGUGUUUGGGUGUUAAACCCUCACGCGUAAUGAAAGUGAACGGAGGUGAGAGCCUUGUAUUAGGUGCAUCAUCGACCGAUCCUGAUGUAUUCGGAAGGAUUUGAGUAAGAGCAUAACUGUUCGGACCCGAAAGAUGGUGAACUAUGCGUGGAUAGGGUGAAGCCAGAGGAAACUCUG
rnacentral:rRNA from 1 species